rnacentral:rRNA from 1 species
CAGGAUGGACCCGCGUCUGAUUAGCUAGUUGGUAAGGUAACGGCUUACCAAGGCGACGAUCAGUAGCCGACCUGAGAGGGUGAUCGGCCACAUUGGAACUGAGACACGGUCCAAACUCCUACGGGAGGCAGCAGUGGGGAAUAUUGCACAAUGGGCGAAAGCCUGAUGCAGCAACGCCGCGUGAGUGAUGAAGGCCUUCGGGUCGUAAAACUCUGUCCUCAAGGAAGAUAAUGACGGUACUUGAGGAGGAAGCCCCGGCUAACUACGUGCCAGCAGCCGCGGUAAUACGUAGGGGGCUAGCGUUAUCCGGAUUUACUGGGCGUAAAGGGUGCGUAGGCGGUCUUUCAAGUCAGGAGUGAAAGGCUACGGCUCAACCGUAGUAAGCUCUUGAAACUGGGAGACUUGAGUGCAGGAGAGGAGAGUGGAAUUCCUAGUGUAGCGGUGAAAUGCGUAGAUAUUAGGAGGAACACCAGUUGCGAAGGCGGCUCUCUGGACUGUAACUGACGCUGAGGCACGAAAGCGUGGGGAGCAAACAGGAUUAGAUACCCUGGUAGUCCACGCUGUAAACGAUGAGUACUAGGUGUCGGGGGUUACCCCCCUCGGUGCCGCAGC